CCGCACUGGGGAUUACAGAGGCUCUCCCCCCUCCCCAGAAUAGCGGGGGAUGGGCACCCCUCCCCCCAGUUUAAGACACACCGAAGGAGAAAACCAGCUCCUCCGCCGCUUCCCGCCCCACUUCCCCCGCAGCCGGCUCCCAAGCGCCGCCGCCUCCGCUGCUGCGCGCCCCGGGCAGGAGCCGCACGGGCGCCCGCUCGCUGCAGCCUGAGGGCGGAUCGGGGCCGCCGCAGAACCGCUCCGUCUGCCGCGCGCCGAGCCGCGGGACCAUGAACCCGGGCGAGAGGAGGCUGCAAGCGGCCGCUGCCGCUGCCGGGCUGCCUCCAGCCGGCGCCCGGUGCGCGGGGGGCGGCGGCUCCGCAGCCGUCUGCCUGCUGCUCUCGCUCACCUCGCUGGGCGCCUGCCUGCUGCUGAGCGCCAAGACCUGCGAGCUGCAGGGCAGGGUGGCGGCGCUGGAGGAGCGGGGCAGCCCCGGCUGGGCAGCGGGAGCCCCCCUGAGCCCCGGACCGCUGCUCGCCCUGCUGCAGCCCCACAUGGAGCAGCUCUUCCAGGAGAAACUGGGCGAAGGAUUAGCCAAGCUGCGGACAGUGCGAGAGGCUCCAUCUGAAUGUGUCUGCCCACCAGGCCCUCCAGGAAGGCGGGGAAAGCCGGGUCGACGAGGAGAACCUGGACCUGCAGGGCAGUCAGGACGAGAUGGCUACCCGGGGCCCCUUGGUUUGGAUGGCAAGCCAGGACCUCCCGGACCAAAAGGGGAAAAGGGUGAACAAGGGGACGUCGGCCCAAGGAUGGUUUUCCCUCGCCUCAAUCAUGGAUUUCUCUCUAAUGACCAGCAUGUCUUUAGCCGACGAAUCCUUAAGGGUGAUCAAGGUCAAGAUGGAGCUGCUGGCCCACCGGGUCCCCCAGGACCACCGGGUGCAAGGGGUCCCCCUGGAGAUACAGGAAAAGAUGGCCCCAGGGGACCACAAGGCCUCCCUGGCUUAAAAGGAGAGCCGGGGGAAGCUGGAGUGAUGGGUGUAAGGGGACCUUCAGGACUAAAGGGUGAGCCUGGUUUUCCAGGGAGAAAGGGUGAUGAUGGGACCCCAGGACAGCCAGGGCUUCAAGGGCCUAAGGGAGAGCAAGGAAGCACAGGUCCCAAAGGAGAGAAAGGAUUAGAUGGAUUGCCAGGAUCAAAGGGUGAUCCUGGUGAGAGAGGAGGGGAUGGACCCAUUGGACCAAGGGGUCCACCUGGCCUGAAGGGCGAACAGGGAGAUACUGUAAUAAUUGACUAUGAUGGCAGAAUCCUGGAUGCACUCAAGGGCCCACCAGGUCCCCAAGGGCCACCAGGCCCUCAAGGAGCUCCAGGACCAAAGGGGGAGCUUGGAUUGCCUGGUACACCUGGAGUUGAUGGAGAAAAGGGAUCUAAAGGAGACCCAGGAAAUCCUGGGAUAAUGGGACAAAAAGGAGAGAUCGGAGAGAUGGGCUUGUCUGGCCUACCGGGAAUCGAUGGGCCAAAAGGAGAGAAAGGAGAAACCGGAUCCCCGUGUUUGCAGAACAAUCAUAUAAUACCAGAACCAGGACCCCCUGGAUUGCCAGGCCCUAUGGGUCCUCAAGGAAUCCCAGGUCCCAAGGGCUUGGAUGGUGUAAAGGGAGAAAAAGGUGACCAUGGUGAGAAAGGGGCAACUGGUGACACUGGGCCACCUGGUCCUGCUGGUCCCCCGGGACUUAUUGGCUUACCAGGCACCAAAGGGGAGAAGGGCAAGCCAGGGGAACCAGGAUUAGAUGGUUUCCCAGGUCUCCGAGGUGAGAAAGGAGAUAAAAGUGAAAGGGGAGAGAAGGGAGAAAGAGGAAUACCUGGCAGAAAAGGCGCCAAGGGGCAAAAAGGAGAACCAGGACCGCCUGGGUUGGAUCAGCCUUGUCCAGUGGGACCAGAUGGACUGCCAGUACCGGGAUGUUGGCACAAGUGAUCUCUAACCAUGAAGCAUAAAGUAUGUAAAUAAUGUGACAUAUUUUGAUCUUUUAAUUUUUGUAAAAAAAUAUCAACAGUAAUAUAUUGAACUUUUUUAUACUGGAUGCUGUCAUUUAAGGACUUUUAAAAUGUUAUAAAGUUUCCCAAGCCCAUAGGACAUGCAUGGAACUAUUGGGAGUUUAUAUACAAACAAGCUGCAGUGGAUGGGAAUAAUCGUAUUUGCUGCUAAUGCUACUGUGUGGACUAACAGUACUGAGACAAUUUGUUGCCUAGUGUGCCUUAGAGCAUGGAGGAGAAAGAUCCCUCUUCUAAAUUUGGCUUUCAACUCUGCAUUUCUGUUGCACACUCACUAAAAGGGUGAAAAAACAUGGCUGAAAGCAAAAAAGAAAAGAAGAAUGCAGCCCUAGAAAUGAAAGAAACUAAUUUGUCAUCUGGCUGAGUGAAAGGACUUUCAGCUGGCACAGAAAACAAAGCCAACCCCAUUCGCUGCUACAUGCUCCCACCCUGAUGGAAAUAGUAAAGUUUUGGCUCAAUAUGAUGAACUCGGCCAUCUGUGCACGCUUCAACUAUUAAUGACAAAACUUGUAUCUCGGGAAGAAACGUACUUUUAACCUUCUGGAGUGUGUGGCUGAAGAGUUGCAAGAGUCUUGCUGGGGAUUCCGUCUUUGUUACUGCAGAAUCCAGAGAACCUCAUCUGCCAAACACACUUUUAAAAAAAAUUGCUAUCUUAGGCUUGGCGCAUAGUGAGAACUCUGCUAAUCUUUUCUAAAGCAAGAGAGCACUUACACUGGGGGGAUCCCAAAACUUGGAAGAGGUCACAGUAUGAAAUAUGGUAUUCAAUUCCCUUGGUUGGUGGGGCUUGUUUUGUGAACAUUAUACAAUUUGAUCCGCAGACUCAGACUUUUCCUCCACCUCCUUCUCCCUGUCUCUCUCUUUCUUUGCUGUAAGUGAGUUUGAACUCUGGCUCAGUCUAGACCACUUACCCACUCAAAAAUACUGGGUGACCUGAGAUGACAGUGACACAGAAAUCUCAUUCUGCAAAUUAGCUUGACCAGUUCCAUUCCAUUCUUGAAGAAAUGAACAUCCAGAAAGCCUAAUGGCUUCUCUUUGUAGGAUGGGGAGAGGGCUUAACACUAGAUGCCAAUGACAUUGAAAAGUGGACAGACAAAACUUGGACGUACCGGUAAACAGGUCAUCAGGUAAAGCCUAAUUAACCAAAAGCUCAAGUCCCAGGCAUUUAGGACAUGCUGAUUUUGUAGGUGAUGUACUAGUAGGUGAGGGAACAGGAGCAGUAAGGUAGCCAGGCAGAUUGGAGAAACCUAGAGUGAUUGCAUAGUCAUCAAGUACACUGGUCUUGGAUAGGAGCUGCAACUGCAUGCCUAGCCAUAUAGAGCGGAGUAGCAGCGUGCCACCCACGGGGGAAGGGAUGGCGUUCCCAUCUUGGAAGGAGCUCUAGAACUGACUGAAGAGAGUUGGCUCUAAAAGGAAAAAGUUGCAUGGCAAAGCAUUGCAAUCCUUUGACCUCUGUGCUCCUCCCAAUGCACUUCUUUAGUAGCAUAAUGUAACUAAAGAACAAUGAGAGAGGAAACAUCAAAAUUUUGUGCCUGUUGUGCUUAUUGUGUUGAUCCAAGCCUUGUGUUUAGAUCAUUAUUCCAUUGAGUCUACUGGGCACAUGCAGGCUUGUGAUGAAGUGAGGAUACUGGGAUAAAGGCAAGAAUUGCUGAGCUUUGCUUGUACAAGUUAACCUAGUGCAGAGUUAAUUCCAGCUCUAGUAAUAUGAACAAGGGUAAUGUGCUCAGUACUGUAUGCUGCUCUCCAUUAAUGUCUCCAGACAGAUAGUAGAAAUUUUCAGAAUGAUGCCUAUGAAUUAUCAUCCAUGCCUUGGUGCAUUAUUUCUACUGGAUUUAUUUAGGAAAGCCUCCUAGACAACAGAGAGCAUUUCCUGUACACUGAUUAAUGUUUGAAAUGGACAUACAGCUCAUCAUGAUAGAAGAUGUGGACUACAUAAAAGAUUCACAGGAAUAUGCAGUUAACUUUAUUUCUUAUAUUUGUCAGCCACUCUGAUUUUGUAUUACUUGUCUUUUUUUGUUUAAAGACUAUAAAGGUGUAUAUUGUAUUUUUUACUUUUCUCUAUAAUUAUAUUGAUUAAAAAUCAGAUAAACUAAUAGGUCAAGAAAUAGGUCAUUUUAAUUAUUUCUAAUUCAUGAGGUUAGCUAUCACUUUAAAGGGAGAUUCUGAAAGGCACAAAGGGCAGUACACAUUCAGUUCCCUAGUUCGUGUUAACAUAGUCCUGUUUUGACUAUGUUAACACGAACUUAGAUAUCUUUUAGAGCACGCCAACAGGAUCUACAUGGGGCAUUUAGAGUUCAGCAUACUGGAGUGCUUUACAAAUCACUACUCCUCCAGUGCAUUUUGCCAAGCCAAUGUAAACAAGCCCUAAAGCUAGAGUGGUUUAUUUCAUUCACUGUUGUUCAGGGCAGUCCUGGCCGUAUGCUGCACCCUGUCAUUUCAGUCAUGUUAAAUGCCCGAUUCUUGGUAACAGUUCCAGUACAGUUGCCCUGUCUGGCCUAGUCUAUGCAGAAUUUUAGGGAAAUCUUUCGUUGUUGGUCUAGCAUACGUGUAGCACAGUCGAUGCAAGCAACAGUGUGAUUGCACCAAUCCUAUAGUAGUAGUGGGAAAUCUUCCUGUAAUUCCCAGUGGGAAGAUAUCCUCUGGCCUUGACUAUUUUCCAAAUAUUUCACAUCAUUGCAAGCUUCAAUUCAGUGCCACCAGCAUAUAGACAUUGGGAGCCUGAGGUAGACUCACUGCCAGCAUUUUAAACAACCUGAUGAUUUAAGCCUGCCCUUGUGGGGGGAACUGUAGUUUGCAGUUGAUGCAAUUACAUACUUAGAGGUUAAUCAAGGAAUGUUUCUCCUAGUUAGGAAAGAGAUUGGGAGAAAACCCAAACUGACUCCAAACUGAAAAUAUUUCUUUCCAAGCCUUGAUAGUUAUUUUUGGUAGUUAGAUUAAGAAAUCAAGAUGUUGCCACAUACUUUUUCUUUCACAGAUUGCUGACAUUUUCUGUAUAGAUAAUGAUGAUGAACUUAUUUCUCCUGUAUAUUUAAAACCUCUAUCUAUGAAUGUUUUCUCCUAAUGCUAAAGCUGAAAUAUUUCUUGUGUGUUUUCUAGAAAACCAAAGGAUAAAAUGUUUCUUAGUCAGCUUUUCAGUUUUAUAGUUUCAUAUGUUUGGUGUCUGAUGGUCUUUAACUAAACAAAUCAUUGAUAUGUGCUUUUUGAACUGGUCAUUCUUUUUAAUGCUAAAACUGAAAAGGAUGGAAUCUACCCAUGUCAAAAAUAUCUAUUAAGCAUAUUCCAUAUUUUUUAUGCCUGUCAGAUAUAUUACCAUGGUUAUCUACUAUAAAAAGGUUGUAUGUUUGUUAUGGCCAAGACUUCCAUGACAGAAACCCUGUUCUUAGGGUUGCUUUUUUUGUUCGUUUGUUUUCUUGUUUAUGUUUUUGUUUUAUUUAGUCACAGGAUCAAAUUCCUAGAUAGUGUAAAACUGGUAUCAGUCCACAAUGGAGCAAGGAUCCUUCAUGAUUUUUUACAAAUUUUGGCCCCAAUCCUGCAGUCAGACCUGUGCAGGCAGACUCUUCCACCCACAAGGAUCCAAUUGCAGGAUCAGGACUUUGGUGUUCUCUACAUACCAUGUAGUGGAGUUUGAGUUUUCAACUAUUAGCUAAACACUACUAAAUUGUGUUAUGCAAUUCACAAUAAAAUAAAUAGUAUUUAUUUAAAUAUUCUCAUCACUUCCUAUGGCAAACAACUUAAAGUAUUGUUACGCUAUGACACUUCCAGAUUUAUUGCCAUGACAAACAGCCAGCCUCUGCUAUAAAUAACCUUUCCUAAUGUAUAAUUAUGCAUCCUUUUGGCAUGAAAAUUCAAUAAACAAAACUAGAGGUAUAAAGUAGUACCCAUCUUUUGGUAGAUUGCAUGGCAACUGAAUGGUUGUUUAAUGCUGCCCCCUAGAGGAUAUGUUUUCUAGAGAAAUAAGUAGCUUUAUGUCAGGGAAAGGGGAAUCUGAUUUUUCUCAUGUUAAUUUGGGGGGAACGUAUGGAUAACUCUCUCGCUUAUGUAUUUUUAUGGCUGAAAUAUCUCUGUAAAACAACAGAAUAUUUAUUUAAAUACAGUUUCAUAUUUUCAAAUUUUAUUUUUUUUUAGUUUGUACAUUUUCUGACAUGUCACCAUAAUGGGAAACACCAUAAGCUUCUCAUUUGUUCUUAUUUAAUUGUUGUCCUAGUAAUUAAUUCACUGUGCUUCUUAGAUAGACAAAAAAAAUUUGCCUGAGAUUACCCGCCAACCUUCUUUGAGAGGAGAGAACACUCUUAAAUAUUUUCCAUAUUGUCAACAGAUUUAUCUGAACAAUGAGCCAAAUGUACAAAUAAAGAGAAUUAAAAAUCUGACUAUAAAAUGUAAACAAUAAAAGCUGCUCUUAAAAAAAUGAUCCUUAGACAAGUACUAUAUAUUCUUGGCCCAAUUCUGCUCAACAGAAUUUACGCUAGUGUAGCUAAGAGUAGAAUUUGGCCAGCUUUUUUUUUUUAAUGGUACUUGUUUCAAUUAGGAUGCACUGUGUCCUCAGGAUUGCUUUCCCUCAUUUUAUGCAUGUGAUUGUUUUUACUUCAUAAGCAUUUUUUACCGGACAAUGAUAAAAACAGAUUUAUAGGUAAAUAUUUGCUGGUGCACUUAAUAAAUAGAACUGGGCUUCCUAUCUGUUAGCAAGAAUCUUUUUUAAAUUAUUUAAUGAAAUAUUUUCACUGAUUUCAAGCUGCCCAAGUCACUUUAAUUUGCACAACUGGCACAGAUGUGGCAUAUUACCUUGGGUGUUACUGACCUUGGCAGCCCUACAAGACAACCUUUAUGCAGAGCUGAACUGUUUCACUGCUAAGAAUAACUAUGCUAGGAACGCAGAAAAUUAGGAAGGAAGAACAACUGAUCACUUUAGUCCAUCCCCACUCCAUUUUGUUAGGGGAUCAACCAGUCUUUGGCAGCUGUACCCAAGAUUGUUGUAAAUCCCAUAUAUGAAUUUAAUCCAGUUUUAAAUACUUUAGUGACUAGUAGUUUCAUCUACUUCCUUUGGUAGUCUACUGAACAUCGAAGUAAAUCACUGAGUACAGUUACUCUUCUUAAUUUGCACUCAGUCUCUCUUGCUUAUAGUUGGUUCAUGAUUUGAUACAUAGUUUUAAUUGUGUGAUUCUUGCACGAAUUUGUAUUCCAUUUAAUCAUCAUGAGCAAAAAUGUUCUAGUAUUAUUUUGUGGAAUAUGAGCCCACAGUAAGUGGUGAAAAUAAUUUGAAACUGACCUGGUCAAGGCACAUGAGAAUAUACUGCAGAGACUAUAUAGUAUUCUAGAGAAUUUAGGGGGAGCCAGAAAAAGAUAUUGAGGCAUCAGCUUUCAAUGCAUUAGAAAUGCGAAGGCUAGGACUAUAUAACAUGGUUUAAAAGAGAACUAGAUAAAUUCAUGGAGGUUGUCUAUUAAUGGCUAUUAGCCAGGAUGGGUAAGGAAUGGUGUCCCUAGCCUCUGUUUGUCAGAGGGUGGAGAUGGCUGGCAGGAGAGAGAUCAUUUGAUUACCUAUUAGGUUCACUCCCUCUGGGGCACCUGGCAGACAGCAUAAUGGGCUGGAUGGACCUUUGGUCUGACCCAGUAAGGCCAUUCUUAUGUUAGAACUGGCAGUUAUCAAAACCACUGACUGUAGGGAACAGUAUAUCGGCAGAUUACAGUUCUCCUUUCAUCUGCUGUAAAACCAAUGAAUUCCUGUGUACACCUCUAUCCCGAUAUAACGCUGUCCUUGGGAACCAAAAAAUCUUACCGUGUUAUAGGUGAAACCGCGUUAUUUCGAACUUGCUUUCAUCCACUGGAGUGUGCAGCCCUGGCCCCCCGGAGCGCUGCUUUACUGUGUUAUAUCGGGUCAGGUUAUAUCGGGGUAGAGGUGUACUACAGGCUGGUUGGUAGAGGCUGCCUCAUUGUUGCUGAGCUUCAUGUAAUGUGAACAGUCAGCUAACUAUUUUUGUGAGGCUCCAUUAUACAACAGAGACUUAUUAAAAAGAGUGAAGUAAAAAUGGAGGAAUCUCAUGCAUAUAUUUAAAAUACAUAAUCUGUAACUCACUAAGACCUGCCCUGCUGCUUUUUCGGAUGAUAAACACUGAUUUGUACACAUCUUCAAAAAGUGAUAUGUACAGAACCUAGGUUUUGCAAUUUAUUUUAUUUGAGUGUGUAAAAUUGAGUUUGUAUUUUCAGAUUUGUUUUCUUUAGUUAAACAUAAAUAUAGUUAGAACCUGAUUUUGCAAAGUGCUUAGCACCCAAUUACUCACUGAGUUUCAGCAUUAGGCCCAUUGGCUAAAAUGAAAGCUGGAUCAGUCUCUUACGGGGUGCAUUCUGGUUGGUAACUUCAAUGUGGUGGAGUGCAAUAUUGUAGAAAUUCUCAGAAUACAAUAAUUUUUAUCUUGCACUGUUUGUUUUUUCUCCAUUUACCUUUGAUGUUUUACUUUCUGCAUUUCACAGGAAAAAAAGAUAUAUUCAGUAUGAUAAAACAUACAGCUGGAAAUGCCACUGAGCAGGAAGUUAAGGCUACAAUCACAGUUUACAAUCCAAAUAAUCAAAGUGCAAACAAAACCACCUGCUAUCUGUUGCCCCAUACAGUUUUAUUUUGGGUGGAUAUACAAGUCUUUUUAAACUGCACUCAUUUUAUAAUCUAAGUGCAAUUAUCUGCAGUUGAAGAAGCUACAACUGUUAGUAUUUUGUACUAAAUGAAAAUCUGACCUAUUUAUACAGUAUUUAGAAGAAUAUAAAUAAGUGUAUUAGCUCACCUGGUUUCAGUAUGUCAGAAGGGCCUGAUCCUAUAAACUGCUAUGCAUGCAUUCCUUAUUCAUGUGGGUAAUCACAUUCACUUCAGCUGCAUCUGUUCAUCUACCCACAUGAGUAAGUGUUUGCAUAUUGGGCUUCUUGUGAAUAACAGUUCUGUUUGAAUGUAUUUACAUAGUAUCUUAUACAAAGCUUUCCUAAGUUUCAGUAAAAUGUAUUGCUUUUCUAAAACAAAAAUAGAUACCUUUAUACAAAAGAGCUAUUUAGCAAGUUUUAUUUUUAACCCCUUUUAUACACUGUUAUAAUGUACAUGCCAAGAGAAGUGUUAUAUUUAGUCAUAAUUUUGGGGAACAACUGUUCGUUUGUUUUUUAAAAAAGGCAUUAAUAGUGUUUAUCCAUUGUUUAUUAUGUUAAAAUGGUAUUAACUAGUACUGCAUCAUUUUAUUUCUAUUUUAUAACUGUAAUGAACAGUGCAUUAUUUUGAAACCCUCAAAACCAUUGCUUCAUUGUGUUUUAAUCUGUAAUAAGUUAAUAUUUGGAUUAAAAAAAAUAAAACUGCCUCCCUUUACAAGUUGUUGUUAUGAUGGUGUCAAUAUGUAUAUUAAACUGCAGCAUCUGUAACUAAGAAUAAACUUUCCAAAUUCUAAAUGUUUGUUUUAAAUAACUACUAAAUGUUUUAAUGAGGCAAGAAUUCAAAUAAAAAUUAACAACCUUA